rnacentral:rRNA from 1 species
UACGGAGGGUGCGAGCGUUGUCCGGAAUCAUUGGGCGUAAAGGGCGCGUAGGCGGCUUCUCAAGCGGGCGGUGAAAGUCAGGGGCUCAACCCCUGAUCGGCCGUGCGAACUGGGGGGCUGGAGCACUGUAGAGGCAGGCGGAAUUCCGGGUGUAGCGGUGGAAUGCGUAGAGAUCCGGAAGAACACCGGUGGCGAAGGCGGCCUGCUGGGCAGUGGCUGACGCUGAGGCGCGACAGCGUGGGGAGCAAACAGG